UUUUCAGCUUGCUGUACAGACUGCUGCUGCACCGGCUGGCUGGGUCACUCUGUGCCUACUGAAUCACCUUUGAGACCACCCCAGCAGGUCUGGAGAAUCUUAUUGCAGUCUGGGGAAGGGAGGAGUCUAUGCUGCCCACUCUGCCUUGGAUGGUGGGGUGUUCAAUAAUAAAAGGUCCAGCUGCCGGGACAAUACUCAGCCAUGAUCAGGACUGCCCAGCUUCUGGCCUAGACGAAGUGACCUUAGCCAACCCCUGUGAAAGGGCUGUUCAAGCCCCCAAAGGGCUCAUGACCCACAGUUUGAGAAGCACUGGUCUAAGCUACCCCAGGCCAGAUCUUCACCAGUCCUCCAGGAGACAAGAGCAGGCUUCCAGCACCAGAUUGAUGGCUGAUGAGGACAGACACAGGACAUCUAUCAGACAAGAGCUACAAAGGCAUCUAUCUGCCAGUCCAAACAGCUCAGUGUGAAGGACUCCCAGUCAUUGUCCAACAACCAGGUGAUAGGCCUGGCUGCCAGGCAAGUGCAGUGUCUGUGAAAGGCACACUAUAAGCAACUGAACGUAGAUCUUUUUCCUUGCCCUUAGGGCAGAGUGCUGGCUGCCCUGGUGCUCCAAGUCAAUCAAUGACAAAGAUCUCCACAGUGUUUAUUAGCUGCAUCUUCUAAAUCCCCUCCCCUUUGGGAAGGCAUCUUUGCUGGCAGUCUGUAGCAUCACUUUGUGCAAACUUCUGCUGCCAGGCCGUGGUCCCACCUUUCCACUGAAACUCAGAACAAAUUCCCCUGCCACGACGAUGACCGCCUUGUGGCUGUAGAUGCAGUCCUUUGGGCCACGCAGAACAUUAUGGCUUACAGAAGGUCCUCCAUCCAUGCUUUUACUGACUCUUGGAGAGUCACAAACGAAUUAUGUGUUUGAUCAACCCAGUAGCAUGGAGAGAGAGAAAUCCUUACCCAGGCCCAUCUUUGUGGGAUGCCUCCAUCUGAAAAGAGGUGGCCAAAUGGCCAAUCAUAAUGACUAGAUGGAGUGAAGAAAAGUUACAUGGUCGCAACUGGGAGCUGGAAAGUGCCGCAGACGUGGGUGGACCAGAGCAUAGUGCAAUGGAUAUCCCUGGAGAGUCAGCCUUGCAGGUAAACGUUUGUCUUCAGAGUGGCAAUGUUAGUGCGAGCCAAGGCUUAUAGCCUUUAUGAUACUCCAGGAGACAAGUGCUUCUUUAUACAGGUGGACAAUUCCCU
rnacentral:lncRNA from 1 species